GCGAUAGAAGCCACAACAGAGCAGUUAGCAUGUUGACAGUAGUUCCAGUCCAGCUAGCAUGUGUAUAGUGGAUCAUUGGUGGCGUUUGAACGGCAAGCCGCCUGUGGUAUGCCACCUGUGUCCGACAUCUGACCACUGACGGUUACAAAAUACACAAGGCAUCGGUGGAUUUUGGUUGGCAAUCCGACAUAGUGCACGAAUACUCUGUCUGCACUGUCCAAACAGCGGCAUGCUACCAGCCCCUAGCACCAAUGGAGGAGGACCGCCUACUUGUUAGACUACCUCUGCGCCUACUCAUUUGGUGCCAUCGUUUGCAUCAGAUAAAUCACAACAAAGAUAUGGUAACCCAAGACCCACGGUUAUAUAAGGAGGUGUAUGAAGAAACGACAGCAUAGAGGACCCAGCACAUCCCCUCACAGAUUCCAUGCCUUUCAAAAUAUCAGAACAAGAUGUCAAGGCAUUUUCCUUAAAGAACUUACAACAUUUCAGGAGUGUGUCACCAUUUGGGUUUUCAUUUUGUACAAUACAUCACCUAUCACCAAGAACGCUACAUUUUGUAAGCUAUGUUUCCUGCAU